UUGAUUGGUCCCGGGAUAGAAAUGUGUAAAGUUGACAUUACAUCAUAAAAUCCACCUUUUACAUCGUACAUUAGCAAUUUAUGUUAUUAGUAACUAAUGCUUUUGGUUUGGCGUCAAAUAAGCCAAUCUUUAUAUGUUAUUUGCCGAAUCUCAGUUUGCCAUGUGGGUUUUAUGCUAGCUAAAGUUCCCUCUUUGAAGUUGGUAGCUAACUUGAACUUGAAUGCAUCUUCUUUAGGAGUGCUAUUUAUAUCCGGUCGACUACUCAUCAUUCAUCCAUACUGUGUCCCCCCCCAUGACUACAGGUCACUGAUACUCCACCUGAUGUGGAAGUUGUCGAACCAGAUCAGAACGCCUUCGAAGGCCACCUUCAGGCACGGACUGAGGUUUUUGACCAGGUGAGACUGAACAUGGACAGGGCACAUGAGAAGGAAAGCCACCUGAGAAGAAUCAAGGGGACCAAGUGCUUCGACAUCUGGGUGAAUGACUUGGGUUGGAAGAAGGACGAAAGGAAGGCGAGACCUGGGAAAGCUUGGUGCUUUUUCGCCAUAUAGUCAAUCUCAAGGUUAACCACUGGGUCACGUUAAGUAACCUCCACUUCCACGUAGAUACUGGGUGUAUGACUCCAGUGGUCAUGACCCCACGCUGGAGUUUCUCUCAGGAUCUAUGUCUAACACCCAGACAUGGAUCCACCUGAUGUUCUCCAUUAUCAACCACCCUCCAACUUUUCAUUACAUGAAAAAUGUAAAGAAGAAAUUCAAAGACAACUCAGUAAUGAACGUUUCUAUAGAAAACUGAGUGUUGAUCCCACACAGUUUUUCAGACUGCGCUGUUAUAUGCCACUCCACAGAGGACUAUCUAGAAAAAGCAGAGGAGAUGCGCAUUAGGUUUCUAAGAAGAGGCUAUUCGCCACAAUGUGUGGAUGAAGCUCUUAAUUUGGCAUUGGGAAAACACAAGAUGAACUGUUACAACAAAGACCCGCUAAAGCUAAAGAACACUCCGUAAUGUUCACAACCACAUAUACUUUGAAUUCGCGAAAAGUGGGAGGUGUGGUCAAGAAACACUGGCAUAUUUUAUCAAUCGGACCCGGCUUUGCAGGCUGAAUUUAAAAAUCCACCACUUAUUGUGUAUAGGAGAGGUCGCAAUUUAAGCGGUAAAUUGGUUCAUGCCAACUGCCAGCCACAAAAGAAAAUCAGCCAGGCUCUUUUACGCUCUACCAAAUGGUAGCUAUAAAUGCAGAGGAUGCGCACAGUGCAACAAUAUGAUGAAGUGUGAAUAUUUCUGCCACCCACACACAGGAAAACGGUUCCAAAUAAAUGACAUCAUUACGUGUUCUACCACCCAAGUUAUUUACAUUAUUAAAUGUCCAUGUGGGCUCUGCUAUGUCGGUAAAACCUCCCGCUCCCUCAAACAGAGAAUUAGUGAACAUAAAAGUUCAAUCAGGAGAAACGACAGGGAUUAUCCAGUCGCAGUACAUUCUAAUGACCUAAACAUGACAUUUCUACCUUUAGAUUUUGUGGCAUAGAGAAAGUUAAGAUAUCAGACAGGGGAGGUGAUAUUAAUAAUACUCUGAGCAAAAGAGAAUGUUUUUGGAUUUUCACCCUCCAGACAUUAUUUCCUAAAGGACUUAAUGAUGAAAUGCCUAUGUAUGUUAUGUUGUGAAUUUGAACAUGAAUUAUGUGCCUAUUUAAGAUUACUCUGAUGUUUUUCGUACGAUGUACCCAAUGAUUAAUGAAAAUUUGCUAUGUCCUCAUUGUGGUUUUAUGGACGUGUUUAAAGCAUCUUAUUUAUACACUUUUGUAGUGUUUGUGAAAUGCAUAUUGUUAUAUUUGGUAGGACUUAUUUGUUUUUCCGUUGCCUCCAACCCCUUUCCAUGCGUGGAACGGAUGUGGGUGGGGCUAGGUCUACAUAAGGGUGCUGAUUUAAAAAAAUUCACAAAAGCUGUGACGAAGGCAGUGAGGCCAAUAUGUAAGCUUAUUAAAUAUCAGUGAUACUAUCAAGAGCUAUAUACACUGCUCAAAUAAAAAUAAAGGGAACACUAAAAUAACACAUCCUAGAUCUGAAUGAAUUAAAUAUUCUUAUUAAAUACUUUUUUCUUUACAUAGUUGAAUGUGCUGACAACAGAAUCACACAAAAAUGAUCAAUGGAAAUCAAAUUUAUCAACCCAUGGAGGUCUGGAUUUGGAGUGACACUCAAAAUUAAAGUGGAAAACCACACUACAGGCUGAUCCAACUUUGAUGUAAUGUCCUUAAAACAAGUCCAAAUGAGGCUCAGUCGUCUGUAUGACCUCCCUACAACGCCUGGGCAUGCUCCUGAUGAGGUGGCGGAUGGUCUCCUGAGGGAUCUCCUCCCAGACCUGGACUAAAGCAUCCGCCAACUCCUGGACAGUCUGUGAUGCAACGUGGCGUUGGUCGAUGGAGCGAGACAUGAUGUCCCAGAUGUGCUCAAUUGGAUUCAGGUCUGGGGAACGGGCGGGCCAGUCCAUAGCAUCAAUGCCUUCCUCUUGCAGGAACUGCUGACACACUCCAGCAUGAUGUCUAGCAUUGUCUUGCAUUAGGAGGAACCCAGGGCCAACCGCACCAGCAUAUGGUCUCACAAGGGGUCUGAGGAUUUCAUCUCGGUACCUAAUGGCAGUCAGGCUACCUCUGGCGAGCACAUGGAGGGCUGUGCGGCCCCCCAAAGAAAUGCCACCUCACACCAUGACUGACCCACCGCCAAACCCGGUCAUGCUGGAGGAUGUUGCAGGCAGCAGAACAUUCUCCACAGCGUCUCCAGACUCUGUCACAUCUGUCACGUGCUCAGUGUGAACCUGCUUUCAUCUGUGAAGAUUACAGGGCGCCAGUGGCGAAUUUGCCAAUCUUGGUGUUCUCUGGCAAAUGCCAAACGUCCUGCACGGUGUUGGGCUGUAAGCAUAACCCCCACCUGUGGACAUUGGGCCCUCAUACCACCCUCAUGGAGUCUGUUUCUGACCGUUUGAGCAGACACAUGCACAUUUGUGGCCUGCUGGAGGUCAUUUUGCGGGGCUCUGGCAGUGCUCCUCCUGCUCCUCCUUGCACAAAGGUCGGAGGUAGCGGUCCUGCUGUUGGGUUGUUGCCCUCCUAUGGCCUCCUCCACGUCUCCUGAUGUACUGGCCUGUCUCCUGGUAGCGCCUCCAUGCUCUGGACACUACGCUGACAGACACAGCAAACCUUCUUGCCACAGCUUGCAUUGAUGUGCCAUCCUGGAUGAGCUGCACUACCUGAGCCACUUGUGUGGGUUGUAGACUCCGUCUCAUGCUACCACUAGAGUGAAAGCACCACCAGCAUUCAAAAGUGACCAAAACAUCAGCCAGGAAGCAUAGGAACUGAGAAGUGGUCUGUGGUCACCAUCUGCAGAACCACUCCUUUAUUGGGGGUGUCUUGCGAAUUGCCUAUAAUUUCCACCUGUUGUCUAUUCCAUUUGCACAACAGCAUAUUAAAUUUAUUGUCAAUCAGUGUUGCUUCCUAAGUGGACAGUUUGAUUUCACAGAAGUGUGAUUGACUUGGAGUUACAUUGUGUUGUUUAAGUGUUCCCUUUAUUUUUUUGAGCAGUGUAUUUAAAUCUAAAAUAUUGCUAGAAUGGUUUUCACAGCAGCUUCAUAACGUGUUCGGUACUGUAAAUUGUAACGUAUGGUAUUUCUUAGUUCAACAUUAUUAAUUGUAUCUUAAGACAUACAAUAUAUAUAUUCAACCACAAGGGUACACUAAUGAGCUAUGAUUUUUUUUUUUCAUAAUUGAGGACUGAAAUGAUUUGAGUGUAGAUGACUUGCCUAGUUAAAUAAAGGUUUUAAAAAUGUAUAAAUCGGGAUCCUAGUCAGGAUUUUGUUUGUCAAUUCAGCAAAGCUGUAGGCAAUUCUGGGCUAAAUCAAUGACAAACAGCCUAAAUGUUCAGGCUUCAUCAUGAUCUGUGAUCAAAACAGGCUGGGGUGUUUUCGGUUCCGUUUAGUCUAAGGAUAUGCAUAAGAACGCAACUGCACUGAAAUGAAUAGCCUGAUUCAAUGGGAUUCUCCUG